AGACUUGGGGUGGUGGAGUGAGUGAAGUCAAGGCGGCUCAUAUGAGAUCUCAAGAACUCAAACCACACUCCAAUCUCAGACUAUAAGAAACCCUCUGCCACAUUGCUCUCAAGAUGAUCAAAAUGGAGUCCCAUCCAUGCUCCUCCCUCUUCCUUCUCCUCUUUCUUUCCAUACUCUUCGUCCGGGCUUUCACAUCAAAGCAUAUCAUUGGAUCUACAAGUCUCACCACUCGUACAAUUCUUCAAGUCAAAAAAGCUUGUCCAGUGAAUUUUGAAGUUGCGAACUACACCAUCAUCACAAGCAAGUGCAAGGGGCCUAAAUACACAGCCAAUCUUUGCUGCUCAGCUCUUGCAGAAUUUGCGUGCCCCUAAGCCAAAUAUCUGAAUCAUUUAACCAAUAAUUGUGCUUCAACUAUGUUCACUUAUAUUAAUCUGUAUGGAAACUAUCCUCCUGGCCUCUUUUCCACCCUCUGCAUAGGAAAAGGCAGAAAAGGGGGCCUUCAAUGCCCUAAAGCUAAUUGAGCUUCUCCCCCAAGAUGUCGUGUAUCAAUUAUCGUGAAGAAGAAUAAGUGUUGAUGUAUGAUCGGGUUGUGUUAUGAGUAGUAUGGAACAGGCUGUUCGUGUUCGUGGUGUGAACAAGAUAGCUUACGGGCUAAAUAUUGCUAGUGUUCGUGCUUAUGUGUUGUGUAUUGUGGAAUUGUUGGUACAAGCUUUGAAGGCAAGAAUAAGAUUAGACUGCAAUUUCAGUAA